CCCACGCCUCACUCUCCUCCAAACUUCUCUCUUCAAUUUCAUCGCCUUAGAAUGAGAUUUUGGAAAAAUCCCAAGUACUAAAGUUGUUCUACGCAACGAGAGCUUCCUAUCCAUCCAAGAAAAUUCAUGAUUGAAGCACUUCAAAGUUUCCUCCAUGUUCGGGCAUGCUUCUAACCUUCGAGGUACUCGCCAUGACACUUAGCUUGGAUUGCACAUUGAGUCUCUUGAGAGCUUCAUUGGAAUCUUUAAGGAGUUGUUUAUCAUCAAGUUUAAUUCAUGUCGUGCACUUUACUUGCAAUUGAAGGUUGUACCUUUUGAUUAGAUCAUAUGUAAAGCUAUGUGUAAACUCCUCUCCUUGAUUAUUAUGAAACCCAUUUAAUUGUAAA